rnacentral:lncRNA from 1 species
UAUUUGGAUAUUUUUUGUAUAAUGAUCUGGCGAAUUAUCAAUAAUUCAUUCUUAGAUGUUCUAAAUAGAAAUUUGUUUCUAAAUGAUGAAGUGAUAAAAAAAUUUCACUAUUCUGAAAUGUUGAUUGUAAUAGUAAUUCAGGGGUAAAUCAACUGAGUAUUCAACUUUUUAAAGUCUUUCUAAUUUCUAUAAGAAAGGAACUGAUGUAUACAUAGGGAAGCCGUGUGCAAUGAAAAAAGGAAGCACGACUUGGGGAGGGGUCUU